rnacentral:rRNA from 1 species
GCUUACGGCUAUACUAGCCUGAAUACGCCCGAUCUCGUCUGAUCUCGGAAUCCAAUCAGGUCGGGCCUGGUAAGUACUUGAAUGGGGGACCGCCUGGGAAUACCAGGUGCUGUUAGCU